UACGGGGGGAGCAAGCGUUGUCCGGAAUUACUGGGUGUAAAGGGUCCGCAGGCGGGCAAGCAAGUCGGUGGUGAAAGUUCACGGCUCAACCGUGAAAUUGCCUUCGAUACUGCUUGUCUUGAGUUCGAGAGAGGAUAAUGGAAUUCAUGGUGUAGCGGUGAAAUGUGUAGAGAUCAUGAAGAACACCAGUAGCGAAGGCGGUUAUCUGGCUCGAUACUGACGCUCAGGGACGAAAGCAUGGGUAGCAAACAGG
rnacentral:rRNA from 1 species